rnacentral:sRNA from 1 species
CAAGGGCCCAACCCGAAAGUUAUUCCUGAAGAGAAACAACGGGCCUGAGCAAUAGCCUGCCCGAUGAUGAUCAAGCAGAGCCCUGCAAGUUUCAAGAGGAAUGUCAGUGACUCUUCACUGAAACCUCCCAGUGUCAGCACCAGAUGGGCCUUCAGAUCCCAGCAUCUCCGUGAGCAGUGAGCAAAGCGGGGCACAGCAGCCUCCCGGUUUACAGGUUGAAAGGAUUGUUGACAAAAGGAAAAAUAAAAAAGGGAAGACAGAGUAUUUGGUUCGGUGGAAAGGCUAUGACAGCGAGGACGACACUUGGGAGCCGGAGCAGCACCUCGUGAACUGUGAGGAAUACAUCCACGACUUCAACAGACGCCACACGGAGAAGCAGAAGGAGAGCACAUUGACCAGAACAAACAGGACCUCUCCCAACAAUGCUAGGAAACAAAUCUCCAGAUCCACCAACAGCAACUUUUCUAAGACCUCUCCUAAGGCACUCGUGAUUGGGAAAGACCACGAAUCCAAAAACAGCCAGCUGUUUGCUGCCAGCCAGAAGUUCAGGAAGAACACAGCUCCAUCUCUCUCCAGCCGGAAGAACAUGGACCUAGCGAAGUCAGGUAUCAAGA